GUGGGGAAUCUUCCGCAAUGGACGAAAGUCUGACGGAGCAACGCCGCGUGAGUGAAGAAGGUUUUCGGAUCGUAAAGCUCUUUCGUUAGGGACGAACGUGCUCUUUGUGAAUAAUGAGGAGUAAUGACGGUACCUAAAUAAGAAGCCACGGCUAACUACGUGCCAGCAGCCGCGGUAAUACGUAGGUGGCAAGCGUUGUCCGGAAUUAUUGGGCGUAAAGCGCGCGCAGGCGGGAUAUCAAGUCUGUCUUAAAAGUGCGAGGCUCAACCUCGUGAGGGGACAGAAACUGGUAUUCUUGAGUGUCGGAGAGGAAAGUGGAAUUCCAAGUGGAGCGGUGAAAUGCGUAGAGAUUUGGAAGAACACCAGUGGCGAAGGCGACUUUCUGGACGAAAACUGACGCUGAGGCGCGAAAGCCAGGGGAGCGAACGGGAUUAGAAACCCGAGUAGUCC
rnacentral:rRNA from 1 species